rnacentral:rRNA from 1 species
AUGGAUGCGUUUGAGGGUCGGUACGGCAAUUUGGUUCUGCUGGCCACGGCGGUAGGAGACGGCGAGGAGGCAGUGACGCCGGCCGAUCUGCUAGCCGCCAUCGAGGCCCGUUGCGGUGUGCUGCAGUCGGAGGUGAGCAUUGAGGUCGCUUGCCCCCCACAUGACCUAUGGCUGUUAUUCUCAACGGAGGAAAAGUGCACGGUGGUGCUGCAAUCGUCGAUGAAGUUCAAGUGUUGCCGCCGGUGGAUCCAGUUUCAGCGCUGGGUAAGAGAGACUCGCGCCACCCCGGAUGCUCUGGAGUACAAGACGAAGCUCAGUUUGGAAGGGCUCCCAGAUCAGGCUUGGUCGACGCAGUCAGUGAAAAGUGUUCUGAAGGAUUUAGGCGGCGGCCUGAUAGAGAUCAUACGACCAAAGAACAGGCGCGAGCUUGAGGUAAUGGCAUGGCUUCGUGACCCGUCGAAAGUGGGCAAGAUGCUGGACGUGGAGAUUGUCGAGCCUAAGCUUGCGCUCUGUACAGAUCCUCCUCCGCAAUCAGUUGAAGAGUUUGUGGCGGUGGAAAUGGCGUCGUCUUACGGGCCGUCGUCGCCGAGGAAGAAGAAGACGCUGGUGUAUCCUGUCAUCUGUCACAUCAAGGAGGUGACUGAUCAUGGUCCUCUACUCGCCGAAGACCUGCCGGAUGCAUGGCUUCCGAACGAAGGGGAGGACCUGACACGGACGCACAAAUUCAGCACUAGGCUUGGCAAAGUCGAUGGCCAUGAGGAUUGA